rnacentral:rRNA from 1 species
AGGAACGAGGUGUAGGCGUGCGUGGUAGGACGAUGGAGGCAAGCGUUGUUUGGAUGUAAGUGGCGUGAAGGGGGGUUAGGGGGCUUGGUAAGUGUCGUGUGAAAUCUCCCGGCUGAACCGGGAGGGUGCGUGGGAAGCUGGGGGGCUAGAGUGCGGGAUGGGAGAGUGGAAUUCCUGGUGGAGCGGGGAAAUGCGUAGAUAUCAGGAGGAAUACCUGUGGUGUAGACGGCUCUCUGGACCGUAACUGACGCUGAAACACGAAAGCGUGGGUAGCAAACAGGAUUAGAUACCCCAGUAGUC